UACGUAGGGGGCAAGCGUUGUCCGGAUUUAUUGGGCGUAAAGCGCUCGCAGGUGGCCCGUCGCGUCGUGCGUGAAAGACCCCGGCUCAACUGGGGGGUGUCGUGCGAUACGGGCGGGCUGGAGGCCAGUAGGGGGAUGCGGAAUUCCGGGUGUAGUGGUGGAAUGCGUAGAGAUCCGGAGGAACACCAGCGGCGAAGGCGGCAUCCUGGACUGGUCCUGACACUCAUGAGCGAAAGCGUGGGGAGCGAUCCGG
rnacentral:rRNA from 1 species